rnacentral:tRNA from 1 species
UCCUGUGUGGCUCAGUUGGUAGAGCAUGGUGUUUGCAACGCCAGGGUUGUGGGUUCGAUUCCCACGGGGGGAC